rnacentral:rRNA from 1 species
GGGGAAUAUUGGACAAUGGGCGAAAGCCUGAUCCAGCCAUGCCGCGUGAGUGAUGAAGGCCUUAGGGUUGUAAAGCUCUUUCAGUGGGGAAGAUAAUGACGGUACCCACAGAAGAAGCCCCGGCUAACUUCGUGCCAGCAGCCGCGGUAAUACGAAGGGGGCUAGCGUUGUUCGGAUUUACUGGGCGUAAAGCGCACGUAGGCGGUUUGUUAAGUCAGGGGUGAAAUCCCGGAGCUCAACUCCGGAACUGCCUCUGAUACUGGCAAGCUAGAGUCCGGAAGAGGUAAGUGGAACUCCUAGUGUAGAGGUGGAAUUCGUAGAUAUUAGGAAGAACACCAGUGGCGAAGGCGGCUUACUGGUCCGGAACUGACGCUGAGGUGCGAAAGCGUGGGGAGCAAAC